rnacentral:rRNA from 1 species
UGGGCAACCUGCCCUCAGCUCUGGGAUAACUCCAAGAAAUUGGGGCUAAUACCGGAUAUGACUGCUGACCGCAUGGUCUGGUGGUGGAAAGAUUUAUCGGCUGGGGAUGGGCCCGCGGCCUAUCAGCUUGUUGGUGAGGUAAUAGCUCACCAAGGCGAUGACGGGUAGCCGGCCUGAGAGGGUGACCGGCCACACUGGGACUGAGACACCGCCCAGACUCCGUAGGGAGG